UAAGCGACUAAGCGUACACGGUGGAUGCCCUGGCAGUCAGAGGCGAUGAAGGACGUGCUAAUCUGCGAUAAGCGUCGGUAAGGUGAUAUGAACCGUUAUAACCGGCGAUUUCCGAAUGGGGAAACCCAGUGUGUUUCGACACACUAUCAUUAACUGAAUCCAUAGGUUAAUGAGGCGAACCGGGGGAACUGAAACAUCUAAGUACCCCGAGGAAAAGAAAUCAACCGAGAUUCCCCCAGUAGCGGCGAGCGAACGGGGAGCAGCCCAGAGCCUGAAUCAGUGUGUGUGUUAGUGGAAGCGUCUGGAAAGGCGCGCGAUACAGGGUGACAGCCCCGUACACAAAAAUGCACAUGCUGUGAGCUCGAUGAGUAGGGCGGGACACGUGGUAUCCUGUCUGAAUAUGGGGGGACCAUCCUCCAAGGCUAAAUACUCCUGACUGACCGAUAGUGAACCAGUACCGUGAGGGAAAGGCGAAAAGAACCCCGGCGAGGGGAGUGAAAAAGAACCUGAAACCGUGUACGUACAAGCAGUGGGAGCACGCUUAGGCGUGUGACUGCGUACCUUUUGUAUAAUGGGUCAGCGACUUAUAUUCUGUAGCAAGGUUAACCGAAUAGGGGAGCCGAAGGGAAACCGAGUCUUAACUGGGCGUUAAGUUGCAGGGUAUAGACCCGAAACCCGGUGAUCUAGCCAUGGGCAGGUUGAAGGUUGGGUAACACUAACUGGAGGACCGAACCGACUAAUGUUGAAAAAUUAGCGGAUGACUUGUGGCUGGGGGUGAAAGGCCAAUCAAACCGGGAGAUAGCUGGUUCUCCCCGAAAGCUAUUUAGGUAGCGCCUCGUGAAUUCAUCUCCGGGGGUAGAGCACUGUUUCGGCAAGGGGGUCAUCCCGACUUACCAACCCGAUGCAAACUGCGAAUACCGGAGAAUGUUAUCACGGGAGACACACGGCGGGUGCUAACGUCCGUCGUGAAGAGGGAAACAACCCAGACCGCCAGCUAAGGUCCCAAAGUCAUGGUUAAGUGGGAAACGAUGUGGGAAGGCCCAGACAGCCAGGAUGUUGGCUUAGAAGCAGCCAUCAUUUAAAGAAAGCGUAAUAGCUCACUGGUCGAGUCGGCCUGCGCGGAAGAUGUAACGGGGCUAAACCAUGCACCGAAGCUGCGGCAGCGACGCUGAUGCGUUGUUGGGUAGGGGAGCGUUCUGUAAGCCUGCGAAGGUGUGCUGUGAGGCAUGCUGGAGGUAUCAGAAGUGCGAAUGCUGACAUAAGUAACGAUAAAGCGGGUGAAAAGCCCGCUCGCCGGAAGACCAAGGGUUCCUGUCCAACGUUAAUCGGGGCAGGGUGAGUCGACCCCUAAGGCGAGGCCGAAAGGCGUAGUCGAUGGGAAACAGGUUAAUAUUCCUGUACUUGGUGUUACUGCGAAGGGGGACGGAGAAGGCUAUGUUGGCCGGGCGACGGUUGUCCCGGUUUAAGCGUGUAGGCUGGUUUUCCAGGCAAAUCCGGAAAAUCAAGGCUGAGGCGUGAUGACGAGGCACUACGGUGCUGAAGCAACAAAUGCCCUGCUUCCAGGAAAAGCCUCUAAGCAUCAGGUAACAUCAAAUCGUACCCCAAACCGACACAGGUGGUCAGGUAGAGAAUACCAAGGCGCUUGAGAGAACUCGGGUGAAGGAACUAGGCAAAAUGGUGCCGUAACUUCGGGAGAAGGCACGCUGAUAUGUAGGUGAGGUCCCUCGCGGAUGGAGCUGAAAUCAGUCGAAGAUACCAGCUGGCUGCAACUGUUUAUUAAAAACACAGCACUGUGCAAACACGAAAGUGGACGUAUACGGUGUGACGCCUGCCCGGUGCCGGAAGGUUAAUUGAUGGGGUUAGCGCAAGCGAAGCUCUUGAUCGAAGCCCCGGUAAACGGCGGCCGUAACUAUAACGGUCCUAAGGUAGCGAAAUUCCUUGUCGGGUAAGUUCCGACCUGCACGAAUGGCGUAAUGAUGGCCAGGCUGUCUCCACCCGAGACUCAGUGAAAUUGAACUCGCUGUGAAGAUGCAGUGUACCCGCGGCAAGACGGAAAGACCCCGUGAACCUUUACUAUAGCUUGACACUGAACAUUGAGCCUUGAUGUGUAGGAUAGGUGGGAGGCUUAGAAGUGUGGACGCCAGUCUGCAUGGAGCCGACCUUGAAAUACCACCCUUUAAUGUUUGAUGUUCUAACGUUGACCCGUAAUCCGGGUUGCGGACAGUGUCUGGUGGGUAGUUUGACUGGGGCGGUCUCCUCCUAAAGAGUAACGGAGGAGCACGAAGGUUGGCUAAUCCUGGUCGGACAUCAGGAGGUUAGUGCAAUGGCAUAAGCCAGCUUGACUGCGAGCGUGACGGCGCGAGCAGGUGCGAAAGCAGGUCAUAGUGAUCCGGUGGUUCUGAAUGGAAGGGCCAUCGCUCAACGGAUAAAAGGUACUCCGGGGAUAACAGGCUGAUACCGCCCAAGAGUUCAUAUCGACGGCGGUGUUUGGCACCUCGAUGUCGGCUCAUCACAUCCUGGGGCUGAAGUAGGUCCCAAGGGUAUGGCUGUUCGCCAUUUAAAGUGGUACGCGAGCUGGGUUUAGAACGUCGUGAGACAGUUCGGUCCCUAUCUGCCGUGGGCGCUGGAGAACUGAGGGGGGCUGCUCCUAGUACGAGAGGACCGGAGUGGACGCAUCACUGGUGUUCGGGUUGUCAUGCCAAUGGCACUGCCCGGUAGCUAAAUGCGGAAGAGAUAAGUGCUGAAAGCAUCUAAGCACGAAACUUGCCCCGAGAUGAGUUCUCCCUGACCCUUUAAGGGUCCUGAAGGAACGUUGAAGACGACGACGUUGAUAGGCCGGGUGUGUAAGCGCAGCGAUGCGUUGAGCUAACCGGUACUAAUGAACCGUGAGGCUUAACCU
rnacentral:rRNA from 1 species